rnacentral:lncRNA from 10 species
GCGUGAUUCACGUGCUCCCUUUGCAGAGGUGGCUGCAGGGCCCCAGGCUCGGGCUACGGACAUGAAGAGGGGCCUCACAGGACUCCUAGCAGACAGGAAGCACCCGACUCUCAGGACUUCAGAGACAGCAGCGCUGACAGCAGCCACCUGUGAUCAAAUAUUCCUUUUGCUCCUUUUUCAGGCUUGGAGAGUCACUGCCAGAAGGCCACGUGCUUCCUGACAGCAUAGUGGCACAGGCUGUUAAGUCCUGGGAGAGAGAGGCAGGGCUGCCACCCCUCAAAGGACAGAGGGGAGGUGGCCUCAGAGCCCCACUCACAGCCCUGGGAACUUGAAUACCUCAAAGGCUGCAAAGACCUAGGCCCACACCCUGGCCACUCAGCCCCUGACACAACAGAAGCCCUCCUGGUCAUAUGGCUUUCAGAGAAAGGAGCCCAACUGCCACUGCUUUUCCCAACCCACUGUCCCCAUAGGAAUAGGAGGCUGAGAUGCUCCUGGGUGCUGAAUGGGAACCCCAGGCUAAAGGCGCAGAGGCAAGGCUGCAGAUGGGAAUCAGGAAGGAGUUCCGGAAGGACAUUUCCAGGAUUGCAAGUGUUGCCUUUCAUUGGCUGUAUUCUCUGACCUCCUCCUGGAGUUCACAAGGUACAGGGGAGGAAGGGCUGCUGACCACCGUCCGCCAGAGACAGCACUCUGGGUAGCAGAGCCCUGGGCACUGGUUCUCUGCCAUCUGCAACCCUCAUUCUGGAUGUGAGCUGAGCAGCAGCUGCCUUCUGGAAGCUUCAAUUGUAGCCCACGCCUCACAGAGGGAAGCAGUGCAAGAGUGGGGAUGGCUCAGCGCUGGACAGUCCCCUUCAGGACUGAGGCAGCAAAGCAGUUCCAGGGACUCCCUGGGUCCACUGCCUGGGAAAUCAAUUGGGUCACCCUUGGUUUUGAAGAGGCGUGAGCCUGUCAUGAGUAUCCCAGACGCAAGCACCCUACCCUUGUCUUAUUUAUUUGUUUUACUUUCCCCAUGAAAAUGUAAGCUUCCUGAGAGCAAGAACUUCUUUAAAAACAAACAAACAAACAAAAAACACUCUGUCUCCCUAGCACUUAGAAAAGUGCUGG